rnacentral:rRNA from 1 species
UACGUAGGGUGCAAGCGUUGUCCGGAAUUAUUGGGCGUAAAGAGCUCGUAGGCGGUUUGUCGCGUCUGCUGUGAAAACCUAGGGCUUAACCCUGGGCCUGCAGUGGGUACGGGCAGACUAGAGUGCGGUAGGGGAGACUGGAAUUCCUGGUGUAGCGGUGGAAUGCGCAGAUAUCAGGAGGAACACCAAUGGCGAAGGCAGAUCUCUGGGCCGUAACUGACGCCGAGGAGCGAAAGCAUGGGGAGCGAACAGG